GUCAGGGUGGUGUAGUGGUUAGCACAUUUGCCUAGAAAGCAGGAGGCCUGGAUUCGAAUCCCAGCCUUGUAUACA